rnacentral:rRNA from 1 species
ACGCUGGCGGCGUGCUUAACACAUGCAAGUCGAACGAGGAUCAUGGAGAGCUUGCUUGAAGUGAUCCGAGUGGCGGACGGGUGAGUAACGCGUGAACAAUCUGGUCUCACACAGGGGAAUAACGCAUCGAAAGAUGUGCUAAUACCGCAUAGGACCACGGCAUCGCAUGGUGCUGAGGUGAAAGACGCAAGUCGGUGUGAGGUGAGUUCGCGUCUGAUUAGAUAGUUGGUGAGGUAACGGCCCACCAAGUCAACGAUCAGUAGCCGACCUGAGAGGGUGAUCGGCCACAUUGGGACUGAGACACGGCCCAGACUCCUACGGGAGGCAGCAGUGGGGAAUAUUGGGCAAUGGGCGCAAGCCUGACCCAGCAACGCCGCGUGAAGGAAGAAGGUUUUCGGAUCGUAAACUUCUGUCCUAUGAGAAGAUAGUGACGGUAUCAUAGGAGGAAGCCCGGCUAACUACGUGCC